ensembl:lncRNA
UUUUUUUUUUUUUUUUUUUGAGACAGUCUUGUUCUGUCGCCCAGACUGGAGUACAGUGGCACAAUCUCGGCUCACUGCAACCUCCACCUCCCAGGUUCAAGCGAUUCUCCUGCCUCAGCCUCCUGGGUAGCUGGGAUUACAGGAGCUGCUACCACACCCAGCUAACUUUUGUAUUUUUAGUAGAGAUGGGGUUUUACCAUGUUGGUCAGGCUGAUCUGGAACUCUUGACCUCGUGAUCCACCCACCUCGGCCUCCCAGAGUGCUAGGAAUACAGGCAUGAGCCACUGCACCUAGCCAGUAUUUUAAUUUUUAUGAAAAAUGUUUCCAAUGUUUUCCAAACAUUAAGAUUUAUCGGCCUGGCGUGGUGGCUCACCGCCUGUAAUCCCAGCACUUUCGGAGGCUGAGGGGGUGGAUCACCUCAGGUUAGGAGUUCAAGCCCAGCCUGGCCAACAUGGUGAAGCCCCGUCUCUACGGAAAAUACAAAAAUUCUCUGGGCGUGGUGGCAGGCACCUAUAAUCUCAGCUACUCGGGAGCCUGAGGUGGGAGAAUUGCUGGAACCCGGGAGGCGGAGGUUGCAGUGAGCCAAGAUCGUGCCAAACUCCAGCCCGGGCCAAAAACAGCAAGACUCCGUCUCAAAAAAAACCAAAACAAAACACAAAAAAACAAUAACAACAACAACAAAAAAGAUAUAUCACUACUCCCAAAGUCUUAACUAAGAUUGUUCUCUACAUUGAAGCCACUAUUUUCUCCCUGAUAAUCAUGCUCUCAAAGCCCAAGAGGGUUGCGCAAAUUGUUACUCCCCAUUAUCUCUUUCCUAAUAUCUGGCCAUUUUUAUCAUCUUCUCUCUCUUAAAAAUUCAGCUGGCGGAGUUUUCUUUUUAACCCUUUCCAAUCAACAGUACCUCCCAAAAAUGAGGAAUAAGGAGAAAGAGGAAAAGAAGCAAAAAUGGAAGAAAAGUUCUGAAAGUUUUUUCUGGUGCCUUUGAUAAGCAGUUAAAAAUAACCAACUUUGUGCUUUUGGAUUUGCUGGAAUUGCUUGACAAGAAUGGCUGGGGGCCCAGGAAGCAGUCGUUGGACCUCUGGCUCUCUGCUCACCUGUUAUUGUAUUUACCCAGAGUGUGCUGAAGCAACAUUGCCGAAUGCUUGGUCACAAUCUCCUUCCUAUUCAACUUGUUCUACUGCCUCAAUUUGGCCUCAGAAAAGGAGAGGGAAAGGAGGAAUUAGGAAGUACAAAAUGGGGGGCAGAGAGUACAUUGAAUGGAUCUUUGCCCUUUAAAUAUCCCAUAAACAGUUUUGGUUAUCAUACUUUGUGUGACUACCAUCAAUCCUGCAUUGAGACCUUGGUUUUUUCAGUAAGUGACCCGACUUUAAAAUAGUACAAUUUACCUCUUUUGGACAGCAUCAAGAAUAAAGGAAAACAUUGCACAUAGUCUUAUUUAUUCUUUAUUUGCAACUUUAGAGAGUAGGAUUAUUUAGAGUGGGGUCAUUGAACAAACGCAGUUUUAUUUUGCAGUUACUCUUGUUAUUGUACAUAUCACACUGACUUUUGCUGCUUAAGUGUUCC